GGGGAUUUAGCUCAGUGGCAUAAGCACCUGCCUUGCAAGCAGCCGGUCAUGAGUUCAAUCCCCG
rfam:Cavia porcellus supercont2_4 genomic scaffold, whole genome shotgun sequence.